rnacentral:rRNA from 1 species
UGCAGUCGAGCGAACUGAUGAAGAGCUUGCUUUUGAUCAGUUAGCGGCGGACGGGUGAGUAACACGUGGGUAACCUGCCUGUAAGACUAGGAUAACUCCGGGAAACCGGGGCUAAUACUGGAUAACUUUUCUCUCUGCAUGGAGAGAGAUUGAAAGAUGGCUUCGGCUAUCACUUACAGAUGGACCCGCGGCGCAUUAGCUAGUUGGUGAGGUAACGGCUCACCAAGGCAACGAUGCGUAGCCGACCUGAGAGGGUGAUCGGCCACAUUGGGACUGAGACACGGCCCAAACUCCUACGGGAGGCAGCAGUAGGGAAUCUUCCGCAAUGGACGAAAGUCUGACGGAGCAACGCCGCGUGAGUGAAGAAGGUCUUCGGAUCGUAAAACUCUGUUGUUAGGGAAGAACAAGUAUCGUUCGAAUAGGGCGGUACCUUGACGGUACCUAACCAGAAAGCCACGGCUAACUACGUGCCAGCAGCCGCGGUAAUACGUAGGUGGCAAGCGUUGUCCGGAAUUAUUGGGCGUAAAGCGCGCGCAGGCGGUCUUUUAAGUCUGAUGUGAAAGCCCACGGCUCAACCGUGGAGGGUCAUUGGAAACUGGAAGACUUGAGUGCAGAAGAGGAGAGUGGAAUUCCACGUGUAGCGGUGAAAUGCGUAGAGAUGUGGAGGAACACCAGUGGCGAAGGCGACUCUCUGGUCUGUAACUGACGCUGAGGCGCGAAAGCGUGGGGAGCAAACAGGAUUAGAUACCCUGGUAGUCCACGCUGUAAACGAUGAGUGCUAAGUGUUAGAGGGUUUCCGCCCUUUAGUGCUGCAGCUAACGCAUUAAG